rnacentral:lncRNA from 1 species
AAAGUUCAGAACAAUAUGAAUCAAAAUUAACUAAAACCUAUGUUUAUAACCAGAGUUUACCAAUAUACCUUAACUGUAUAGUACAUGUACAAGUAUUAACUUACCUGUAAAUCCAAUUAGGGGCAAAUAUAAAAUCGGCGCAAAUGAAAAAAUGAAAUUGGCGCAAAUGAAAGAAUGAAAAUUUAAAAAAUCGGCGCAAAUGUCAUACGCCC